GCGCAAGCUACCCGGGACCUCGCGCCCCGGGGGGCCCGCCGGCGGACAAACCAAACUCUGUUAUCUUCGUUGAUUAUCUGAGUGUCUUAUUUAAUAAGUCAAAACUUUCAACAACGGAUCUCUUGGUUCUGGCAUCGAUGAAGAACGCAGCGAAAUGCGAUAAGUAAUGUGAAUUGCAGAAUUCAGUGAAUCAUCGAAUCUUUGAACGCACAUUGCGCCCAUUAGUAUUCUAGUGGGCAUGCCUGUUCGAGCGUCAUUUCAACCCCUAAGCACAGCUUAUUGUUGGGACUCUACGGCUUCGUAGUUCCCCAAAGACAUUGGCGGAGUGGCAGCAGUCCUCUGAGCGUAGUAAUUCUUUAUCUCGCUUUUGUUAGGCGCUGCCCCCCCGGCCGUAAAACCCCCAAUUUUUUCUGGUUGACCUCGGAUCAGGUAGGAAUACCCGCUGAACUUA
rnacentral:rRNA from 1 species